rnacentral:lncRNA from 1 species
UUUAAUUGUCCAGUAUUUUCCCAUUAUUCCUAAUUAUGCUUAAUUUUAUCGGAAAUUCUAAUUUUAAUUAAUUUGAAUUUUCUGAGCUAAUUAUUUGCUUUAUUAUUUUCAGGGAAAUUUUGGACAAACAAUUUGGAGCAUUAGGAUGGAGACAAAUUAAUUCAAGACUCUCCACUUGGACAUUUCAAAUUUAAUUAUAUUGUAACUUAUGGUAGUCUAGAAUGUUUUUAAUCAAGCUUGUGCACAUUGGGCCAAGAUUUUAGCAAAAAAUUAUGAUGGGCCCAAACUUUGAGGGACACUUGGCAACCUAGGGUUUUAUUUUCUUUAGGGUGGACCCCACCCAUUUUAAGACACACACAGUCCUAGGAUUUGAAGGGGGCAACAGCCGCAAUAUAUUUUGUAGGGGCUGGAACGGUGCUCAUUCAUUCUCGGCAGCAGUGUUAUUUUGGUGGCUAGAACGUUUCUUUUCCAUUUUUUUCUUUCAAACAAUGUCUUGGCAUUUUGAUGUUGGAUGAAUAGAAAAUGGGUCCAGCUGCAUCAGACGUUCUCCAUUGUGCAUUUAUUUUCAUUUUCGUUUCUUUACUUUGAAUGGAAGAGCAAUGUGUUGUCUUGUCCAUGGGUCCACUCCUCUUUAUAGCAUUGUUUUUUUAUUUUCAUGAGAAGGAAAGAAGGGAUCCUCACCUUGGGAAGGUCACAGUCGAUGUCUGGNGUCNCAUUNNUUUNNUUUUUUUUUUUUUUUUUUUUUUUGCUUUGUAUUACAAUUCAAGCUUGACCAUGAAUGGUUUGCUUCUAUUUGUUUAGUUACACUCACAUUGAAGACCGUGUGCCCUUGGUUUGAUAUCUCACAUUUCUAAAUUGUUA